rnacentral:rRNA from 1 species
GGGAUUGCCUCAGUAACGGCGAGUGAAGCGGCAACAGCUCAAAUUUGAAAUCUGGCCUUUGGCCCGAGUUGUAAUUUGUAGAGGAUGUUUCGGGUACCGCUGCGGUUUAAUUUUCUUGGAACAGAAAGUCAUAGAGGGUGAGAACCCCGUCUUGGACCGCGGUAGGGCCUAUGUGAAACUCCUUCGACGAGUCGAGUUGUUUGGGAAUGCAGCUCAAAAUGGGUGGUAAAUUUCAUCUAAAGCUAAAUAUUGGCCAGAGACCGAUAGCGCACAAGUAGAGUGAUCGAAAGAUGAAAAGCACUUUGAAAAGAGAGUUAAAAAGUACGUGAAAUUGUUGAAAGGGAAGCGCUUGCAACCAGACUUGCGCGCGACGGUUCCCCCUUCCUUUUGGUUGGGCCACUCCGUCGUGUCCAGGCCAACAUCAGUUUUGGUGGUCGGUUAAAGGCCUUGGGAAUGUACCUACUCCUUCGGGUGUAGACUUAUAGCCCUUGGUGUCAUGCGACCUACCGAGACUGAGGAACGCGCUUCGGCUCGGAUGUUGGCGUAAUGGUUGUCAGCGACCCGUCUUGAAACACGGACCAAGGAGUCUAACAUCUAUGCGAGUGUUUGGGUGUCAAACCCGGAACGCGUAAUGAAAGUGAACGGAGGUAGGAAGGCGCAAGCCCGCACUAUCGACCGAUCCUGAUGUCUUCGGAUGGAUUUGAGUAAGAGCAUAGCUGUUGGGACCCGAAAGAUGGUGAACUAUGCCUGAAUAGGGUGAAGCCAGAGGAAACUCUGGUGGAGGCUCGCAGCGG